UGCAACACGGCAAGCCUCGCAGCAGUACUUUAUAUAGUAAUAAAUCGGACCUGAUUGGGAACUCUCCACACCAGCUGCAUCCGGUCGGCCGAUUCACAGACCUUGCGCCCUGCCCACGACUUCAGGAAAAAAUGGAAAAGGGGGUACUUAAACUCCAGUUUCUAAAAAUGAUGCCCAGUUAAAAAUUACUCAGCUCAUCUUGCCCUUCUACAGUGUUUUAGGCUGACCACCGCUGCAUUCCAUUGUCUGGGUCUUUGCAGCCUGUUUUUCCUGUCACCUCUUAGCAUCGAUUGUUCUAGUGCUUUGUGGCUGCUGGAAUCAAAUGGCGCCAUCUCUAGAGGGGUAAUCACAGUCGUUUCGGGCAUUUGUGAAAUAGCGUGUAGAAACUGCUUCCGUACAAACUCGAAGUGAUCAGCCUAUGGAGUGGCUGACUGCAAAAGACGACGCCUGAUGAUAGCUCCAAGGCUCCAGUGCAAUGGUGGAUCUCAAGGGAUUCUCCUGCUUCAGCCUCCGGAGUAGCUGGGAUUACAGGUAUGCGCCACCGUGCCUGGCUAAUUUUGUAUUUUCAGUAGAG
rnacentral:lncRNA from 1 species